rnacentral:rRNA from 1 species
UACAGAGGUCUCAAGCGUUGUUCGGAAUUACUGGGCGUAAAGCGUGCGCAGGCGGCUUCUCAAGUCAGGGGUGAAAGCCCAGAGCUCAACUCUGGGAAUUGCCUUUGAGACUGAGUGGCUUGAGUACGAGAGAGGUGAGUGGAAUUCCCAGUGUAGAGGUGAAAUUCGUAGAUAUUGGGAAGAACACCGGUGGCGAAGGCGGCUCACUGGCUCGUAACUGACGCUCAUGCACGACAGCGUGGGGAUCAAACAGG